rnacentral:rRNA from 2 species
UACGUAGGGUGCAGGCGUUAAUCGGAAUUACUGGGCGUAAAGCGUGCGCAGGCGGUCUAUUAAGACAGGUGUGAAAUCCCCGGGCUUAACCUGGGAACUGCGCUUGUAACUGAUAGGCUUGAGUGUGGCAGAGGGGGGUGGAAUUCCAGGUGUAGCAGUGAAAUGCGUAGAGAUCUGGAGGAACACCGAUGGCGAAGGCAGCCCCCUGGGCUAACACUGACGCUCAUGCACGAAAGCGUGGGGAGCAAACAGG